rnacentral:rRNA from 1 species
UUGAACGCUGGCGGCAGGCCUAACACAUGCCGGUCGAGCGGAUGAAGGGAGCUUGCUCCUGGAUUCAGCGGCGGACGGGUGAGUAAUGCCUAGGAAUCUGCCUGGUAGUGGGGGAUAACGUCCGGAAACGGGCGCUAAUACCGCAUACGUCCUGAGGGAGAAAGUGGGGGAUCUUCGGACCUCACGCUAUCAGAUGAGCCUAGGUCGGAUUAGCUAGUUGGUGGGGUAAAGGCCUACCAAGGCGACGAUCCGUAACUGGUCUGAGAGGAUGAUCAGUCACACUGGAACUGAGACACGGUCCAGACUCCUACGGGAGGCAGCAGUGGGGAAUAUUGGACAAUGGGCGAAAGCCUGAUCCAGCCAUGCCGCGUGUGUGAAGAAGGUCUUCGGAUUGUAAAGCACUUUAAGUUGGGAGGAAGGGCAGUAAGUUAAUACCUUGCUGUUUUGACGUUACCAACAGAAUAAGCACCGGCUAACUUCGUG